CAACGUAGAGACAACAGGGAUUGCCCUAGUAACGGCGAGUGAAGCGGCAACAGCUCAAAUUUGAAAUCUGGCCCUCUUGGGGGUCCGAGUUGUAAUUUGUAGAGGGUGCUUUGGCGUUGGCCCCGACCUAAGUUCCUUGGAACAGGACGUCACAGAGGGUGAGAACCCCGUACGUGGUCGUCGGUCUUCGCCGUGUAAAGCCCCUUCGACGAGUCGAGUUGUUUGGGAAUGCAGCUCUAAAUGGGAGGUAAAUUUCUUCUAAAGCUAAAUAUUGGCCAGAGACCGAUAGCGCACAAGUAGAGUGAUCGAAAGAUGAAAAGCACUUUGGAAAGAGAGUCAAAAAGCACGUGAAAUUGUUGAAAGGGAAGCGCUUGCAGCCAGACUUGCCUGUAGUUGCUCAUCCGGGCUUUUGCCCGGUGCACUCUUCUGCGGGCAGGCCAGCAUCAGUCCAGGCGGUCGGAUAAAGGCCUUGGGAAUGUGGCUCUCUUCGGGGAGUGUUAUAGCCCAGGGUGCAAUGCGGCCAGCUUGGACUGAGGUCCGCGCAUCUGCUAGGAUGCUGGCGUAAUGGCUGUAAGCGGCCCGUCUUGAAACACGGACCAAGGAGUCUAACAUCUAUGCGAGUGUUUGGGUGUCAAGCCCGAGCGCGUAAUGAAAGUGAACGGAGGUGGGAACCCCUCGGGGUGCACCAUCGACCGAUCCUGAUGUCUUCGGAUGGAUUUGAGUAAGAGCAUAGCUGUUGGGACCCGAAAGAUGGUGAACUAUGCCUGAAUAGGGUGAAGCCAGAGGAAACUCUGGUGGAGGCUCGCAGCGGUUCUGACGUGCAAAUCGAUCGUCAAAUUUGGGCAUAGGGGCGAAAGACUAAU
rnacentral:rRNA from 1 species